GAGUUUGAUCCUGGCUCAGAACGAACGCUGGCGGCGUGCCUAACACAUGCAAGUCGAGCGGGAUCCAUCCAGUAGCAAUACUGGGGAAGAUCUAGCGGCGAACGGGUGAGUAACACGUGAGAAACCUGCCCCGAAGUCUGGGAUAACCCGAGGAAACUCGAGCUAAUACCGGAUGCCCUCCUCUGGUCGCAUGGCCGGUUGAGGAAAGAUUCAUCGCUUCGGGAGGGUCUCGCGGCCUAUCAGCUAGUUGGUGGGGUAACGGCCCACCAAGGCGUCGACGGGUAGCUGGUCUGAGAGGACGAUCAGCCACACUGGGACUGAGACACGGCCCAGACUCCUACGGGAGGCAGCAGUGGGGAAUCUUGCGCAAUGGGCGAAAGCCUGACGCAGCAACGCCGCGUGCGGGAUGAAGGCCUCGGUUGUAACG
rnacentral:rRNA from 1 species